AGAGUUGAUCCUGCUCAGGACGAACGCUGGCGGCGCGCCUAACACNUGCAGUUCGAGCGAGGACCAGGUCCUUUCGGGACUGGGGAAAGCGGCGAACGGGUGAGUAACACGUAGUUAAUCCACCCCACGGUUCUGGGAUAGCCCCGGGAAACCCGGAUUAAUACCGGAUGGCCUCUUGAGCCCUCGGGCUCUCGAGAAAAGGGAGCUUCGGCCUCGGACCGUGGACGAGCCUGCGGCGGAUUAGCUUGUGGGCGGGGUAAUGGCGCACCAAGACGACGAUCCGUAGCUGGUCUGAGAGGACGAUCAGCCACACUGGGACUGAGACACGGCCCAGACUCCUACGGGAGGCAGCAGUGGGGAAUCUUGCGCAAUGGGCGAAAGCCUGACGCAGCGACGCCGCGUGAGGGAAGAAGGCCUUCGGGUUGUAUACCUUCUUUCAGGAGGGACGAAGCCACUCGGGUGAACAGCCCAGAGGGUGACGGUACCUUCAGAAGAAGCCCCGGCUAACUACGUGCCAGCAGCCGCGGUAAUACGUAGGGGGCAAGCGUUGUCCGGAUUUAUUGGGCGUAAAGAGCGUGUAGGCGGCCAGGUAGGUCCGUUGUGAAAACUCGAGGCUUAACCUCGAGACGUCGACGGAAACCAUCUGGCUAGAGUCCGGAAGAGGAGAGUGGAAUUCCUGGUGUAGCGGUGAAAUGCGCAGAUAUCAGGAAGAACACCUGUGGCGAAGGCGGCUCUCUGGGACGGUACUGACGCUGAGACGCGAAAGCGUGGGGAGCGAACAGG
rnacentral:rRNA from 1 species